ACUUUUCAGUUUCAAAAAUGUAAACAGACGCUUCCCCUUUCACCUUACCUUCUUCCUUUUCUCCUUCUCUCAGCCGUUUCUAGGUUUCAAGUCGUUUAAAACCUUCUCUCAGACACACUGCUUUUCCGUGUCUGCCUCUGAUUUCAGGACCUCCUCGACACCCUCCCUCGCCCUUCCACCGCCGUCUGGAAAACCUUCAUCAUGGGCUUCAUCUGCGACCGGGUGCCAGGGUUUUCAUACUCGAUUUGGGUUUUCCUGCAAUUUUUCAGAUUUGGUGCGCCUUUGCUGGGAUUAUGGGGUUCCAGUUUGUGCUUUGGUGUCGUUCUUCUAUGUUGUUCUUGAUUGUGGUAUUGAAUUUUCUUUCAUGAACCAAAAACACAAUUUUCCUUAAUUUUUUUCAUGGUUUUCUAGACUUUUUAGACAGUGAUUGGGUUUGGAUCUCUUGAUGACAUGAAAAGGCCUCAGCUACUGUUUUACCUUGGUAUUAUAUAUGUUCUCUUGGAGUAAAAAAGGCAGGAUGUUAUGGCUCAUUCUACAGAAGUAGAAUUUAUUGCAGCAACAGUUGUAAAUCAAUCCUUAUAGUGUUUUUACAGUUGAGUUUUUUAUUUGAGUUUUUAGUUUUUUUCUUUUUUUUUUUAUAAUUUUGGACAUGAGAAAGUAAGGGUCUGUGGCUAAGUUGUGUUACAUUGCAUCUUGAUGUUCAUUCGAGAGAACUGGUGAAGGGGCAGGGGCUUAGUGAGCGGGGGGAAAUUAUUCUCUUCUAUAAGGCUGAACCUAAAACAGAUGAAGUAUAUGAUCAGACAACUUUGCUUCCUGAAGCAGAUGUGAGUGCGCUCUGACUUAGAAUCAGAAUAUUGUUUCUGCAACCACAACUUUUCUUUUUGCAGAUAUUCUGUCUGCAAUCGAUCUCAUCCCUUUGUUGCUUCAAUAUUCUAUAAAUGCUUCUCCUGGAUGUUCCCAGUUGCAUUGUUUUGGAUUCUCUUUGAUUCUACAUGCUUGGAUGAUCAAGUAGCCAAUUAAGGUUUUGGAUUCUCUGAUUCUGCAUGCUUGGUAGAAUGAGUUGGAAAUUAAGGUGGUGAAUCUUAUCUUGGAGCCUUAAAUUGAUAUCACAACCAGCUAUAUUUUUCAAGAGUGUGGUUCAAGUGUAUCAUCUUAUCCGAACUAAAGACAGAUGUUCUCAGGAACGAAAAAAGUAGGAGUAACGAAGAAGAUAAAUGAGAAUGGAUAUGAGAAUUCUUACUGAAUGUACAAGUUGCUGCAUUGUUGUCUCCCACCAAGGUAUGAAUCAUCCGUCUUUUUACUUUUUUCACCUUUGUUAUUUCUUUCCUCUUUCACUCCCAUUCCAUGUUAUGUUUUUUUUGUUGCCUUCUUUGAAGUUUUAUUUUUCAGCCUAUGCAUUCCCAAGACUAUUCACAAGUACAAUGCUUAUAAGGAUGUUGGUCUUUCUACUUACUGAUUAUAUGAAUUAGAAUUAUGUGAGCAGAGAGAGAAGGCUGGGACAGAAAAAUGCUAAAAUGAGUUAUUUUAGAUUGCAAGAACGUCAAUCUUUCCAGAACAAGAAAGUAAAGUUCUCAGCCAGCAGAGGCAGCAUCAAAGUGAAGGACAAGAAAGUAGUGGACAGGAAGAU